UACGUAGGGUGCGAGCGUUGUCCGGAAUUAUUGGGCGUAAAGGGCUCGUAGGCGGUUUGUCGCGUCGGGAGUGAAAUCCACUGGCUUAACUGGUGGCUUGCUUUCGAUACGGGCAGACUGGAGGUAUGCAGGGGAGAACGGAAUUCCCGGUGUAGCGGUGAAAUGCGCAGAUAUCGGGAGGAACACCAGCGGCGAAGGCGGCUCACUGGACCGGAACUGACGCUGAGGCGCGAAAGCGUGGGGAGCAAACAG
rnacentral:rRNA from 1 species